CAACAGCUUAGCAGCCACUAGGCAAAGGGGGUAGGGGAAGCAAACACAGAGUUUCACUCUGUUGCCUAGGCUGGAGUGCAGUGGUGUGAUCUCGGCUCAUUGCAGCCUCCACCUUCUGGGUUCAAGUGAUUCUCCUGCUUCAGCCUCCCAAGUAGCUGGGAUUACAGGCGUGCACCACCACACCUGCCUAAUUUUUGUAUUUUUGGUAGAGACGGGGUUUCACCACGUUGGCCAGGCUGGUGUCAAACUCCUGGCUCUCAAGUGAUCUGCCCACCUAGGCCUCCCAAAGGAAAAAAUACAUUUGGAGGUCCCUAAAAGACUGAUCACCUGAGCUGUCUGGCAAAUUGCUGAAAAGCUCCAUUCUCAGGGCUUGUCUUUAUCUGACCUGACUCAGAGAUCACCCAGUGUCAACAACCCUGUACUCAAAGCAUUUGUCAAAAACAUUGAACAGCAAUCCUUCAAGAUCACAGCUGCCUGAGGUGACCUUACCAACUGAGGCUAUUAAGAGGCUGAUUGGAAACUUAAAAGGAAAAAUUGGAGAAUGAGAUGUCCAUAGGAAUUUUGGAAAGC
rnacentral:lncRNA from 1 species